UUGUAGUCUGGAGAAGUGUCCUCUGCGGCGGACCCGGCCUAAGUCCCCUGGAAAGGGGCGUCAGAGAGGGUGAGAACCCCGUCGGGCCGGGACCCUGUUGCUCCACGAGGCGCUGUCGAGGAGUCGGGCUGUUUGGGAAUGCAGCCCUAAGCGGGAGGUAAAUUCCUUCCAAGGCUAAAUACGGGCGGGAGACCGAUAGCGAACAAGUACCGCGAGGGAAAGAUGAAAAGGACUUUGAAAAGAGAGUCAAAGAGUGCUUGAAAUUGCUGGGAGGGAAGCGAAUGGAGGCCUGGUGUGCGCCCCGGUCGGAUGCGGAACGGCUUACGGGCUGGUCCGCCGCUCGACGCGGGGUGCUGGUCGGCGUGGGCUUCUCCGGCGGGAUAAAAGUUUUGGGCCGCUCGCGCGCGCGCCCCCCUCCCCUUUUGGGGGUGGGGGAUCGUGUCGUGUUUGGCCCGGCCGAUGCCGUCGGGGAGGUCGAGGAACCAGUGGUGGAAGUGCGCGUCCCUUCGGGGACGGGUCCUCUCUCGUAUGGGAGGGGGCACCUGCGCACUCGGGACGCCGGCGUAGUGGGCUUUUCAUCCGACCCGUCUUGAAACACGGACCAAGGAGUCUAACAUGCACGCGAGUCGGUGGGCGGCAAACCCAAGGAGGGGGGAGGGAGAUUUUCUCUGUCUCUCGUCUCKGACCGGCGAAAAUAACUUAACUGGUGUGAUCUUUUAGCCCCUUUUUUGGGGGCGGGGUGCAACAUCGACCGACCAUGAGCAUCUCGAUGCGAAAGGUUCGAGUAAGAGCGUGCCUGUUGGGACCCGAAAGAUGGUGAACUAUGCCUGAGCAGGGCGAAGCCGGAGGAAACUCCGGUGGAGGCUCGUAGCGAUACUGACGUGCAAAUCGUUCGUCAGACUCGGGUAUAGGGGCGAAAGACUAAUCGAACCAUCUAGUAGCUGGUUCCCUCCGAAGUUUCCCUCAGGAUAGCCGGAGCAGGAGGAGUUUCGUCAGGUAAAGCCAAUGAUUAGAGGCAUCGGGGGUGAAACACCCUCGACCUAUUCUCAAACUUUAAAUAGGCGAGAUCCGUGUUAAAUCUGGGGUUGCUUGAUUGAACCCCCGGG
rnacentral:rRNA from 1 species